UACAGAGGGUGCGAGCGUUAAUCGGAAUUACUGGGCGUAAAGGGUGCGUAGGUGGUUUAAUAAGUCAGAUGUGAAAUUCCUGAGCUCAACUUGGGGACUGCGUCUGAUACUGUUUGACUAGAGUACUGUAGAGGGGAGUGGAAUUUCCGGUGUAGCGGUGAAAUGCGUAGAUAUCGGAAGGAACAUCAGUGGCGAAGGCGAUUCUCUGGACAGAUACUGACACUGAGGCACGAAAGCGUGGGGAGCAAACAGG
rnacentral:rRNA from 1 species